rnacentral:rRNA from 1 species
ACCUAAUAGAUACCUGGUAGUCCACGCCCUAAACUAUGUCAACUAGUUGUUGGGAGAGUUAAAUCUCUUAGUAAACGCAGCUAAACGCGUGAAGUUGACCGCCUGGGGAGUACGGCCGCAAGGUUAAAACUCAAAGGAAUUGACGGGGACCCGCACAAGCGGUGGAUUAUGUGGAUUAAUUCGAUGCAACGCGAAAAACCUUACCUACCCUUGACAUGUACGGAACGGGGCAGAGACGUCCCGGUGCCCGAAAGGGAACCGUAACACAGGUGCUGCAUGGCUGUCGUCAGCUCGUGUCGUGAGAUGUUGGGUUAAGUCCCGCAACGAGCGCAACCCUUACCAUUAGUUGCUACAUUCAGUUGGGCACUCUAAUGGGACUGCCGGUGACAAACCGGAGGAAGGUGGGGAUGACGUCAAGUCCUCAUGGCCCUUAU